GUAUUGCUGAAGAGUCCCAAAGUAGGACGAAACAGUUUUGCAGUAC
rfam:Trichobilharzia regenti genome assembly, scaffold: TRE_scaffold0080050